UGUCGCGGAUGAGGCCCGGGUCGGACAUGCGGGCGACGCCGCCCUGCGCGCGGAUGUCGGCGGGGACGCGCUCCAGGGCCAUGACGGCGCAGGCCCCGGCCUCCUCGGCGAGGCGCGCCUGCUCCGGGGUGACGACGUCCAUGAUGACGCCGCCGCGCAGCAUCUGCGCUAGGCCGACCUUGACGGAGAAGGUGGACUUGGACUGCUUGGAGGGCUCCAGCAGGGCGGCGCCGUUGUUGCCGUAGACGGUGACCACGCCGCUGCCGUUGCCGUCGGAAGCCAUUUCGUUCUCUCUUGGGAGGUGGGGUGGGGGAUUGGUUGGGUUUCUCUCUGGAUCUGCUUACUAGUCUCUCUGCUCCCUCUCUCUCGGG
rnacentral:lncRNA from 1 species